AUUCAAACAGGAAGUGCUAAUUUAAAGUGACGUUAGGGAAGUGAUAAUACCACUAUAAAUGGAUAAAUAUACACAUGGUUCAAAAGGUUUCCUGUUGUAUUUGUUUUAUUUUAUGUGUCUUGUAUCUGUCUAUGUAGCGUAGUUUAACAGUUUGUUUUAUGUCAUUGGUAGGCUUUUCAUAUAAAUGAGUAAUUACAAUUGACAGGUUUCGGUACGUGUUUUAUCCCAGGAUAGGAGAGUGAGUUUAGUGGGCCACAUCCUGGUAAGUCUUGUUGUCCCUGUUUCAGGAUGUGUGAUGUGUUGUUGACCACCUUCAUCAGCUGGGGGCACCCUGUCAGGAGGUCUAGGGUCCAGUUGUAGAGAGAGGUCUUCAGUCCCAGGGUCCUGUCAGGACGUCCGAGUCCAGUUGUAGAAAGAGGUCUUCAGUCCAGGGUCCUGUCAGGAGGUCUAGGGUCCAGUUGUAGAGAGAGGUCUUCAGUCCCAGGGUCCUGUCAGGACGUCCGAGUCCAGUUGUAGAAAGAGGUCUUCAGACCAAGGUCCUGUCAGGAGAUCCGAGUCCAGUUGUAGAAAGAGGUCUUCAGUCC
ensembl:lncRNA